GUCCUCUUGUUUAUAUAUGAGGUCUGACCUGCCCGGUGAAAUUUGUUUUAACGGCCGCAGUAUUUUGACUGUGCAAAGGUAGCAUAAUCAUUAGUCUUUUAAUAGGGGGCUGGUAUGAAGGGUUUGACGAGGUGUUUACUGUCUCAUUUAAUUUGUAUUUAGAAUUUAACUUUUCAGUUAAAAGGCUGAAAUUGUAUUGGAAGACGAGAAGACCCUAUAGAGCUUUAUAAUUAAAAUUUUAAUUAUUUUUUGUUUAUUAUUUUUUAUUAUUAUUUUAAUUAUUUUGUUGGGGUGACAAAAAUAUAUAAUUAACUUUUCUAUUUAAUUAACAUUGAUUUAUGAUUAUUAGAUCCAUUAUUAGUGAUUGUUAGAUUAAGUUACC
rnacentral:rRNA from 1 species